UUUUUAGUAUAAGUAUGUUCCAUGUGUUAUUUGGGAUAUACUUACAUUAAAA
rnacentral:pre_miRNA from 1 species